CUCCCUCUCUCUCCCUAGCGUGCUCUCAUCGUUGGCUGCUGCCCGCCGCUGCAGGUACCCGUCGCCGGCGGCGCUCCGGUGGGUCCCUGGCACCAUGACCGCCACCAGAAAGUUCCCCAUGUUCUUCCGCUUCAAACGCGCUAUCUCUCGCAUCCUGGCCCGCCCCGAAUCGCCGGAUCGAUGCUCUACAGUAUUGUUUUCCGUCCGCCAUGGUCAUAUCCUGGAAGUCCGGCCUGUGCUACCUCAUAUUGUUGUACGCCUGAUCUGGCGUCUACUGGACCUUGGCCCAUUUCUCUCCCGGUGUAGCCAUCGCCCACGCGCAGCAGCCCGCUAAUCAUCGCCUCACGCGGGCCAGAGCUGCAUUUGCUUCUUCUCGGAUAGGAUCACGAAGUGAUGAUGUGAGAUACGACGAGUUCUUCGACAAGUUCUUCUGCAGCUUUUCACAGGCGAGCCCACCCCUUCACCUAUUUUACUUUUACAUGCUCUUUUGAUCUAUUGCUAUCCUUGUGUUGCGAUUCUGUUGUGUCACGUGUCCUAUCCACCUGUUACCUAUAUGUCCGAGAUACACCUCCUCGCCCUACCUAUUGUUUGUUGUUUGCCAGCUUUGCGAGUCGUAGGCGAGUUUAGGGUCUUGUUGAUAUCUCGAGAUGUUCGGGAUAUCUUGUUGGGAGGUUAUCACAUGCUAUAUCUUUUGUUGGAGAUAAUCACACUUUAUUUUAUUGUUAACAACUAAAAUUGUAAGCAGAGGCAUCUGUGAGCCCCUUUGCGAAAGCAUCGGAACUUUGACUCGCUAAUGUCCCCUAGGACCCGAGUUCUUGUUAUCUGUUCCGAGAUUGAGCGCUCUACCCGUACGUGGGGGAGUGGGACCCCCAUCACCCACUACCUUUCCUCGAGUCUGUUUAUUGGGAGCCACAACCCUGGUUUUAUUUGCUCAUAUGCACGAUGCACGAUUUACUUCUGUUGCCUUCGGGUGUUUAUAUUCUGUUCUGUACUCAUAUCGUGGAACGAUUAGCGAAAGCAGGUUGUUCACACUUAGCUUAGCCGUUGGCACAAACCUCUGGGUCCGUAUCGGAGUACGGCCGAACUUCGUCACGGGUAGCUUAGUGGGGUGGCUCCCCUUAAACUUUCUCUUGCAUUGGGAACGGUCUUGAUGUGAGACUCCACCUGUAGUAAGUGGGUUCGAGCAUGCGUAUGGUUACAUUUGGGCAACCCCUGCAGGGUGUACAUCUUAUCGAUAAGCCGUGUCCGCGGUUAUGGACGACUUGGAAUUGUAUGGCUUGAUCAUAGGACAACUUACACCUUAUACUUGUUGUUAAUAAUCUGAUAAUAACUUGUGUAGUAAUAUAGCAUUACCACAACCGAUACCUAAUAAAAUUUGUCCACCGUUGAGUGCCUUUUACAUUGCCUCUUCGCUUUGUUGAAGGGGAUAUGUGUAAUCGGCUGGGUUAUGUUUGUGUAGUAUUUAUCUGUUACCUUGUGCGCUCUCUUAUCUUCUCUGAGUAGACGGAUGUUGUAGCGUGUCUCUAUUGGAUAGUAGCUUUGCUGCCGCUAAACUCCACAUAUAGCCGGGUGAAGUUUAUACCGCCCACCAGCGAGCAUAGCUGGUCUUGUCUCGCAAGUACGUGCCAAUGGUACUUACCCUCGCCUUCCUUUCUUUUUGUCUCCUCCCCCUCCUGUCGGCAACCGAUGGCCCGACUUUGACAGGUACGAGAUGAUGACGUUAGCAAGGUUUCCCUUCCGGCUUGGCCUGGGCAGGGUUAUGGACGCCGCUGGUUAUCUUCAGGACUCUUAGUCCAAUUUGUAUCUUGUCCGUACUCGGACGUAUUUGAUCUUCUGUAUGAUUUGGAUCUUUGUAUUGUAUAUCUGUAUCUUGACUCGUUGGAGUCGUUGUUGUAAUAUAUGUAUCUUGUGGGCUCUAUUGUAAUCCUGUUGUAAUGUUACCGCUCGUGUUAAUUCCUCUGGCAUCACGUGUGGGAUUCGUCGCGCACGUCGUGUCGGAGGGCGUCUCUGGAUCGAUAUCGUGCGGAUUUCGGCGGGUUCGCUGGAAUCCUCAUGGUACCGGUUCCGGGGCGUCACAAGUUGGUAUCAGAGCUCAGGUUGACGGUACCCCACUAGUCCAGCCUGUAGGAUAA